rnacentral:tRNA from 1 species
GGGCUGGUAGCUUAGUUGGUAGAGCGCCGGCUUUGCAAGCCGGAGGUCGGGGGUCCGAAACCCCCCCAGUCCA